CCCCCCCUCUCCGGACGGAUUUGCAAAUUGCACGUACCCAGCAUCGAGCGUAUCGUGGCGAGAACGAGGCAGGCCACCGGUUCUGUGCAAAGAACUUGCGUGGGCAUGAUCUAUGAUAACUCAACACUGACAAGCGGUGUGCGACGUGAGCCAACGAGAACCAACACCUAUUAGAUUCAUCGUAGAACCUCCACUCACCCCUGACUGGAUGGACUUUGAACGUAGUAGGAACGAUGGAAGCCACCAUUGAAGUCCCAGGAACGGUAGAAGAUUUCCUUGGAAGAGGAAUGGAUAUCGGACCUUAUCGGUGGUGCACACCACAUGAUAGUGGAGGGUUAAAGCGGGUCCCACUGCUGUCACAGCCGCGUCGCCUCUGUAUACAGCCCAUCGCCCAAUAACCUGCCCACAUGCGGGAGCAUGUGUGUCUGCACAUGUACAGUGAAACCAGUCUAAGGUGACCACUCCAGGGACCUUCAAAACGUGCUCGCUGUAUACAGGUGGUCUUCUUAUCCAGGGUCAUGUGAUUGCAGGUGGAUAUGUUCACAUGUGUGCCAUGGUCAAAUAAUCUCUAAUCAGUACCAAGUUGAGGUCACGGCAUAGCUGAUUGCAAGUACUGCGCGAUCCAGCUACUGGAGCAGCAAUGUCGCGGAGUGUGACGACUCAGGAAUUAAGGUCUACUCUGAGAGGUUCACGUACGAGGCGAAUCCCAAUCCUGGGCAGGUCGAUACGGAUGCUCAAGAAGAGCGUAAGGAGAUUGGAGCGGCUGCUAAAGAAAUUGCAUCGGAGUGCUCAUACAAUGGCAAGCCGAUCCCGGACGUUGUGUGCAGGUACGAGAGCCGUGUCACCGACUUUGAGGGGUGGAUCCUGCGCCUGGCUGUUGGUCUCUGCAUGUGCGCCGGAGCGAGGCUGAGCGUUCGUUUGUUGACCGCGAGAAUUUAUUGAUUGCCAUGCUCGCCACCAUUGGGAAUGAGUCAACUGGCGGACAUGAUCUAUCGAUCGACGAGACUCUGUUGCUUAGUCUGACGCCGGAGAGUCCGACGGUAUCCGAGUCAGGAUUUUCCCCAUGUCAACGACACCGAAGCGACCGGCGUUUGGCGUGCUAGGAGGCUUGCCCAAGACAGUGUAUGCGGGGCUGGAUCGUUCGCCGGAGCCCUCAGUAACGCAGUUGCCAGAGGGAGAUCCAGAUCGCCUCAACGAGCUGCUUGACGGUGUUUGGUCUAGUAGUUGGUCUAGUACUGGACGCGACCACGGUCUGCGUAUUAUUAGGGCACAGAGUAUGCUUGCAACGCACCGGACUGAGUAGCCAAGCCUGGCUGCUAUCACCUCGCCGGGAGUCCCUGGUUAGCAUGGACGGACCUUGAGUGUCUCGUCGACCUGUGGUCCUACAUAAUCCAUCCGUAUUUGUACAAGAACUUCUCUCUGCUCGCCGCUCGGGAGAACGCCAGGAUUUGUUACCAGGAAGACCGCAUCCUAAUCCUCAGCAUACAGCGUCGGUGGUGCGAGGCCAUGGAGCACAAGAUCACGGGUCUGGCGAGCAGCAGUGGUUCAGCUACCUAGCGACACUGGAUAACCAAAAGAUGGACGCGGAGGUCGUCGGAGGUCGUGUGUUGCGGCCGGUGAUAAGCAAUCUUUUUGCUCCAGAUGCUCCCAUUUCUGGCCAGAACCGGCUCCCAGCCGCGCAUUGUCUUCUACUGGGGCUCUGGUUGCAGGCAGUGGUUUGAUGGAUAUGUGGGCCAACCUGCCGCUCUGUUCGAUGGCCAAGACCUCUCCCCUGGAAUGUUGCUCAGGGUCCUGGAUGGAAAUGGGAUGCGAUCAAGGGUGGUUUUGUGGGUUGUGUGUUCAUCACGGCAGCACUCCAUCCCAAUGAUUGGUAUUGCGGCAAUGACCAACGUGACGCGACUAUCAGGGACCAGAAUAAUGGCACGCGCAACUGAGUGUCGGAACUAUUACUGGCACUCGUGGUGUGCCGACGACGCGUCCGUGCCUGCAGACCCAGAACUUCUUGCAGAGUAUGACGCUCUACACCCGUUGAAUCUUCCAACGGCUGCCCCCCCCCCCCCCCCACCCCAUGCAUCUGACUUCGCUCCUGUACUGUACAGUGCUCUUAUUAUGCAUGUUUACCAAGUUGAAACCUGGUGUGAGGGUGCGCAUGAUGAGAUGGACGAUGAUUAUGCCUUUCAUGAAGCUCUGUUGCGCGCUCUGUUCACGUCUACUUCUGGUAUGCCCUUAGAUCUUGGACCUGCUGUUGACCACCCUGAUCACAUGUGCAUCUGCUCUUGAUUUCUGUGAUGCCGAUUCUUGUCCCCCCUCCCCUGUAUGUAUUGACCGAGUGUUGCCCCGUAACCGGUGUUCAGCACUAAAUGCGCUGAGGCCUCGUCUCAGUAUGCCAUAGAUGGGGACAUGA